UACGUAGGGGGCAAGCGUUGUCCGGAAUCAUUGGGCGUAAAGCGCGUGUAGGCGGCUCGAUAAGUCUGCUGUGAAAGUUCAGGGCUCAACCCUGAAAUGCCGGUGGAAACUGUCGAGCUAGAGUACGGAAGAGGUGAGUGGAAUUCCUGGUGUAGCGGUGAAAUGCACAGAUAUCAGGAGGAACACCAAUGGCGAAGGCAGCUCACUGGGACGUUACUGACGCUGAGACGCGAAAGCGUGGGGAGCAAACAGG
rnacentral:rRNA from 1 species